AGAGAUUUAAAGGGAAGCUAAUUAAUACAAAUCUUCUAAAACAUACAUGAGGCUAGGAAUAUAUUAAGUGCUUAAUUAAAAAACAAGUUCUAUUGGGUUUAACACCUAAGUCAAUGAAGUCGUAUCAGUUGAGGAAAUAGUCACAAAAGAGGUUUUGUAAAUGGCAGAAUUGAUGAGUGCUACAGUUCACAAAUUUUCUACCAUCCAUUCAGAUUUAGAAUCAAAUGAAGACAGGCUCUGUGAUGGUCGAUUCUGGAUUUCUUGGGUCUAAAAUAAUAUCCUAAGCCCAUUCCAGA
rnacentral:lncRNA from 1 species